CGCACCCGACAGUCGAAACGUAUGCUGUAGGACAUUUCUAAGCAGUUCAUUUACGCUGAGGAGGAAACAUGAUCUGCAUCUUUGUCUUGUUGUGUCUUGCAGGUCUCAGUUUGGGGCUUGAGGUCCAUCAGUCCCACUCUGAUCUCAUCAAAACAACUGGUGAUAAAGUUCACAUUUUCUGCACCCAUGAAAGAACCAACUACAGACAGAUUCUCUGGUACCAACGGAGACCCGCAGACACAGCCAUGAAGCUCAUCGGAUAUUUGUACUUCAAAGAUCCGUCUAUGGAAGACGGAUAUAAAGAGGACUUUGGGAUCUCUGGAGAUCUGGGAGGGGAUACGGCGAAGAACGGAUCCCUGACGAUCCAAACCGUGAAACAGAAUCACACCGCCAUCUACUACUGCGCUGCGAGAGAAGCACAUUGACAGAAAUCCUCUCUGCACCUCAACAAUAACUGUGCUGUGUUUUAUCAUCAGUGGUUUUCAUAGAAAAGUGAUUAAACGUCUUUCAAGCACCUGCUUCUGUGGUUGGACAGAUGGAAGAUUCAACACA